GAACGCUAGCGGCAGGCUUAACACAUGCAAGUCGAGGGGCAGCGGGGAGGAAGCUUGCUUUGCUCCGCCGGCGACCGGCGCACGGGUGAGUAACACGUAUGCAACCUGCCCCUGUCAGGGGGACAACCCGCCGAAAGGCGGGCUAAACCCGCGUACAUGCCACCGGGGCAUCCCGGAGGCAGGAAAGGCUUCGGCCGGACAGGGAUGGGCAUGCGGCGCAUUAGGCAGUAGGCGGGGUAACGGCCCACCUAACCGACGAUGCGUAGGGGUUCUGAGAGGAAGGUCCCCCACACUGGUACUGAGACACGGACCAGACUCCUACGGGAGGCAGCAGUGAGGAAUAUUGGUCAAUGGUCGGGAGACUGAACCAGCCAAGCCGCGUGAGGGAGGAAGGUACAGAGUAUCGUAAACCUCUUUUGUCAGGGAACAAAGACUGGGACGCGUCCCCGGAUGAGUGUACCUGAAGAAAAAGCAUCGGCUAACUCCGUGCCAGCAGCCGCGGUAAUACGGAGGAUGCGAGCGUUAUCCGGAUUUAUUGGGUUUAAAGGGUGCGCAGGCGGUCUGUUAAGUCAGCGGUCAAAGCCCGGGGCUCAACCCCGGCCCGCCGUUGAAACUGGCAGUCUCGAGUUGGAGAGAAGUAUGCGGAAUGCGCGGUGUAGCGGUGAAAUGCAUAGAUAUCGCGCAGAACUCCGAUUGCGAAGGCAGCAUGCCGGCUCCACACUGACGCUGAGGCACGAAAGCGUGGGUAUCGAACAGGAUUAGAUACCCUGGUAGUCCACGCAGUAAACGAUGAAUGCUGGCUGUCCGGGGGGACUGACCCCUGGGUGGCGAAGCGAAAGCGAUAAGCAUUCCACCUGGGGAGUACGCCGGCAACGGUGAAACUCAAAGGAAUUGACGGGGGCCCGCACAAGCGGAGGAACAUGUGGUUUAAUUCGAUGAUACGCGAGGAACCUUACCCGGGCUCAAACGGGGAGUGGCGCAGGCAGAGACGCCUGUUUCCCACGGGACACUCCCCGAGGUGCUGCAUGGUUGUCGUCAGCUCGUGCCGUGAGGUGUCGGCUUAAGUGCCAUAACGAGCGCAACCCCCGCGUGCAGUUGCUAACAGUCAACGCUGAGGACUCUGCACGGACUGCCGGCGCAAGCCGCGAGGAAGGCGGGGAUGACGUCAAAUCAGCACGGCCCUUACGUCCGGGGCGACACACGUGUUACAAUGGGUGGUACAGCGGGAAGCCAGGCGGCGACGCCGAGCGGAACCCGAAAUCCACUCUCAGUUCGGAUCGGAGUCUGCAACCCGACUCCGUGAAGCUGGAUUCGCUAGUAAUCGCGCAUCAGCCAUGGCGCGGUGAAUACGUUCCCGGGCCUUGUACACACCGCCCGUCAAGCCAUGGGAGCCGAGGGCGCUUGAAGU
rnacentral:rRNA from 1 species